rnacentral:rRNA from 1 species
AGAUUGAACGCUGGCGGCAGGCCUAACACAUGCAAGUCGAGCGGUAGAGAGGUGCUUGCAUCUCUUGAGAGCGGCGGACGGGUGAGUAAUGCCUAGGAAUCUGCCUAGUGGUGGGGGAUAACGUUCGGAAACGGACGCUAAUACCGCAUACGUCCUACGGGAGAAAGCGGGGGACCUUCGGGCCUCGCGCCAUUAGAUGAGCCUAGGUCGGAUUAGCUAGUUGGUGAGGUAAUGGCUCACCAAGGCGACGAUCCGUAACUGGUCUGAGAGGAUGAUCAGUCACACUGGAACUGAGACACGGUCCAGACUCCUACGGGAGGCAGCAGUGGGGAAUAUUGGACAAGUGGGACGAAAGCCUGAUCCAGCCAUCGCCGCGUGUGUAGAAGAAGGUCUUCGGAUUGGAAGGCUAACGUUUAAGGUU